rnacentral:rRNA from 1 species
UACAGAGACUGCAAGCGUUAUUCGGAUUCACUGGGCGUAAAGGGCGCGUAGGCGGCCUCGCAAGUCCCGUGUGAAAUCCCUCGGCUCAACUGAGGAAUGGCACGGGAAACUGCGGGGCUUGAGUUCGGGAGAGGGAAGCGGAAUUCCGGGUGUAGCGGUGAAAUGCGUAGAUAUCCGGAGGAACACCGGUGGCGAAGGCGGCUUCCUGGACCGAUACUGACGCUGAGGCGCGAAAGCUAGGGGAGCAAACGGG